GUUCGCAUCAGAUCGAAUCUAAAAAAAAAUUUUCCCUUUCUUGUAUAUUUCUCUAAUUUAUAUAUGUAUAUAUAAUUUUUUAGAGCUGACACAACAAACGCAGGUUUGGAACCGCAAUGAAUCGGGUCGCCCGAGGAGCGGUGAGUCCGAAAACAUCGCUCAUGUCAAUUUCACUAGGUUUCAUCCCAUCGGGCAACUCCCAUGUAAAACAGUGAAGAAGAUGAGCCACCGCCAAAUCAAGAGCAUAGAGUCCGAGUUGCAUACCCGGGCAGGAUCUCCGACCCGAACCGAAUGGAAUGUACUCAAAAUUUGACCCUUUAAAAUCAGGCACUCCUUCCCUCAAGAACCUGGAUGGCCUGAAAGUUUCAGGGUCUUCCCAAGAGUUUUCGUCCCUUCCGAUAGCCCAUGCAUUGAUCAUGACCCGAGACCUCGCCGGGAUGUAAUAUCCGGCGACCUCUGCAUCCUCGGCGGUCUCGUGUAAGAGAAGUGGGAUUGGUGGGUGAAGUCUUAGAGUCUCCUUCAGUGUGCAUUUAAGGUAUGUCAGCUUGUCGAAAUCGCUCUCCUCCACUCGCCGCUCUAGGCCCACCACCUCGGCGAGCUCUUGCUGGACCUUUUUCAACUCUUCUGGAGUCCUCAUCAACUCCGUCAGUGCCCACUCUAUCGCCGACGCCACCGUCUCUGUUCCACCAAACAUCACGUCCAUGAUAAUAGCUUUGAUGUUGUCUCGAGUGAGUUUGAAGGAGUUCUGAAGAUCGUCUGAUUCGUUUACUUUAGCCUCAUCGCUGUAGAAAGCUAGCAAAUCAUCCACCAUAUCAGUGUUAUCAUCAGAGACAUUACCCAGCUUCCUUUUUUGCAUGUGUUCAUCGAUGAUCAAAUCGAUGAAUCUGUCAAGUGAUUUACGAGCCUUGGUAAGUCUAGAAUUGAGCUUGAGGCCUUGUGGGUCAACCCAUCCAAGCCAAGGGAUGAAAUCAGCAAUGUUGAAAGCACCAAAAAGCUUGGAAAACUCCUGCAAAAUCCGAAUAAACUCGUCUUGUCCUUCGUUCUUGGAACCGAAAGCGGCCCUAUAAAUAACAUUCAUGGUUAGCGUAAAAAUCAACUCUCCAACAUUCACUGGCUUGCCUUUGUUGGCUACAACGGUUUUAACCAUGAAAUCAACCUCAUCCCUCACAGAUUCCCAUGACUCAGCCCUUUUACGGCUGAAAAGCUUCAUGACGCAGAGCUUGCGCAUCUGGCGCCAGAAAGGGCCGUAGUGGGCGAAGGCCAUAUCUGCACGAUCAUAAGUGAGAUAGCUGAUGGCCAUGGUGGCAGGUCGAUUAGAGAAAAUGUUAUCUUGGACUUGAAGAACUUGGCGAGCUAUAUCAGGAGAAGAAACAGCCAUCAUGUGAAUGUUUCCCAUGCAAAGAUGGAACAAGCCACCAUAUUCUUUAGCUAGUUUAGCUAAACCCCGGUGGGUUAACUGGUCCAUCAUCAGGAGGUUGCCUAUAAUUGGCAAGCCUCUGGGCCCUGGAGGAUAGGGCGAUCUUCGGCGAAGGCGAGAGAUUAGACCUAGUAGGAAUAGUAAA
rnacentral:misc_RNA from 1 species